GUGAAUCAUCAAAUUUUUGAACGCAAAUUGCACUCUCUGGUAUUCCGGAGAGUAUGCCUGUUUGAGGGUCAGUUAAAUACAAAUCGGUGUUUUGUUCCCGCUUUGCGUAGGGACGCAGCGGGGUUGGGUCGUCUUACCUUCGGUUAAAUGACCUGAAAUUUUGCAUGAUUUUCGAACUUAUUUUUAUAAUUUACGUACGUUUUUAAUGUCUGAUUUUUGGUGUGAUGAUACC
rnacentral:misc_RNA from 1 species